rnacentral:rRNA from 1 species
AGGACGAACGCUGGCGGCGUGCUUAACACAUGCAAGUCGAGCGGAAAGGCCCUUCGGGGUACUCGAGCGGCGAACGGGUGAGUAACACGUGAGUAAUCUGCCCUUAGCUCUGGGAUAGCUCCGGGAAACCGGGAUUAAUACCAGAUACGACCACUUUAGACAUCUGCCGUGGUGGAAAGAAUUUCGGCUAAGGAUGAGCUCGCGGCCUAUCAGCUUGUUGGUGGGGUAACGGCCUACCAAGGCGACGACGGGUAGCCGGCCUGAGAGGGCGACCGGCCACACUGGGACUGAGACACGGCCCAGACUCCUACGGGAGGCAGCAGUGGGGAAUAUUGCGCAAUGGGCGAAAGCCUGACGCAGCGACGCCGCGUGGGGGAUGAAGGCCUUCGGGUUGUAAACCCUUUCAGCAGGGACGAAGCGAAAGUGACGGUACCGUGCAGAAGAAGCGCCGGCUAACUACGUGCCAGCAGCCGC